rnacentral:rRNA from 1 species
GAGUUUGAUCGUGGCUCAGGACGAACGCUGGCGGCGUGCUUAACACAUGCAAGUCAAGGGGGCCCAGCAAUGGGCAACCGGCGAACGGGUGCGUAACACGUGAGCAACCUACCGAAUGCGGGGAUAGCCGGCCUAACGGCCGAGUAAUACCGCAUACGCUCUUUAUGAGGCAUUUCAUGGAGAGGAAACCUACGGGGUAUUUCGAGGGGCUCGCGGCCUAUCAGCUAGUUGGCGAGGUAACGGCUCACCAAGGCAACGACGGGUAGCUGGUCUGAGAGGAUGGCCAGCCACAUUGGGACUGAGAUACGGCCCAGACUCCUACGGGAGGCAGCAGUGGGGAAUCUUGCGCAAUGGCCUAACGGCUGACGCAGCGACGCCGCGUGUGGGAUGAAGCUCCUCGGAGUGUAAACCACUGUUGCCCGGGACGAAUAGCUCGAUUAAUCGAGCCUGACGGUACCCGGGUGAGGAAGCACCGGCUAACUCCGUGCCAGCCGCCGCCGUAAC